rnacentral:misc_RNA from 1 species
CCUUGAUCAAUUUUCUGUUGACCAUUCUAGAUCGAGAUGAUUCAACACUUCCACUAGUAGAAGUGCCUGUGCUCUUACUAGUAGAAGUGCUUGUGCCUUCUAAGUCUUGUAUUGCUUGUUUCAAGCCCUCAACGACCUCGGCCAUAGUUGGCCGAUCUUUUGGAUUCUUGUUCAGACAGCUAUCUGCCAAUUUAGCAAUUUUCUUCGCUGACACGAUAGAGUAAUCAUUUCUAAGCCGUGGGUCCAAUAUCAUGCUGAACCUUUUACUGUCAGCUGGAAACUGUUUCACCCAAUCAAGAAGCUUCUGUUCAAUUGUUGGCCGGUUUCUUUCCAAAGUUCGCCUACCUGUAAGGAUNNNNNNNUUCAUACAGCACCACACCAAAGGUCCAUAGAUCACUGUGGCUUGUGAGGUGACCUGUCUCGAACAUAUUCUGGGGCAGCAUACCCAUAUGUACCAACCACCCCUGUGGAUACAUGAGUACGGUCACCUGUUGGCCCUUCUCUAGCAAGCCCAAAAUCAGAGAGUUUUGGUUUAAAGUUUACGUCCAACAGCACAUUUGAGGAUUUGAAAUCUCGAUAUAUCACCUGGACUUCCAUUCCC